CUGGGCAUGCAGAUGCCUGAUGGGGGCUUGGACCCUUUCGUGGCACGAAAAGGAGAGAGACUGCUGUUCAUCUUAAAAGUCUCGAAGGAGGCAAAAACCCAGGCGGAAGUCAUGGCUGACUCUGAUCCUGCAUCUUCUCAUUCUGGUUGUUUUCCACCGCGUCUGCUCCCAUUUGCGUGGGAUGCGCUGGUCUCCUGCCCGACUCUUUUGUGUUCCUCUUUUGCAUGAUUAAAAACACGUUUCUAUAUGCACUAAACCAUCACCUAGCACUGGCACGCCUGGUUUUGGGUUACAGCUUUGUCCGUAUAAUAACAGCGAAGUUCUCCCUGGGUGUGAGAUGCGGGUUCGAACAUGUGGUGUGCGCGCCAGGGCUGGCCGCUUCCGGUUAAGUGGACGCGGGGACUUGACUGCGUCCCCUGCCUUGCAGGUAACUGGAAUGGGUUGCCUGGCAAGUUGGCCCUGCCCGGGACGCCGAAGGGACCGCUUCCCCAUUCCAGAGCCUGCCUCUGGCCUUCAGGGCCGCUGACAGGUCCGAAAAGAAAGAGAAGGCACUCAGUUUUAAAAAAAAGAGAUCUAGAGGACUGGGGAAAAGGGGAUGAGCCAAGGCAAACUGGGAAUUGCUCGGGCUUCCCCCGAAAGCCUCAGCUCAGUGCCGGGGGAGACCCCAACGGAGGGCCAGACUCCCCCAAAUCCAGUGGCCGAAGACCUGGAUUUCCUGGGAGGAUCCCCGGGGGCCCGAGGCAGGCCCAGCUGGGCCCCGUCUGCUCGGGACGCGGGAGGCCUCAGCCGUGGCGGGAGCCCCCGCUGUGGCGGCCUCGCCCUUCGAGGCCAGGAGAAGCGGCCCCCUCCUAAGCCGUCAGCGGCUCAUCCUACCGGGAGACCUGGAAAACCAGCAGCCGCGGGCCCUGCUGGGCUUGCUUUCGCCGCCCCGGCCCCUUCUCCCCGGCCAGUGGACCCCGCUCGCCGUCCCGUCUGUCAGUCUCGGUUUUAGCUCCUUCGGGCGCAGGGCGCUCGCCUCCCGGCCGGGCCACCCCACCCUCCAAUCCCCGAGGCCGACCCGACCCCUGCACUCCGCCAGGCCGCGAGGUUUCCCAGCGACCGGCGCCCCGGCCCGCGGCCGACCUGGAGGCCUGACUGCAGGGCUCGGGCGGGGCCCUCUCUCGGCUCUGGCUGGCGGCCCACUCCCGCGGGCGUACAGGCCUCGCCACCGGGCCUCGGCCUUGCCGCGGCCCACAGCGCCCUGGGACCGGCGCCCCCGAGGCCUGAGAACUACGCCCGGGGGGCGCGGGCUGAGGCUCAAGAGAGGUCCUAGGUGCGGGCCAGGGAUGGAGCCAGCCCAGAGAGAAAGGGGAAAACCCGGCAAGGCAAGAGCCUCAGUCUCGCCCCUGCCUGGCCCGCCAGGCUGUGAGUGGGGCCCAUUGGGCAGCGCCAACCUGGGGAGUCCGGCGUCUGCCCCAGCUGGGGGCCCUCGGGGCAGAGAUGAAGGAAAGAAACACUCCCAAGGUGAAAUACAAAGGGCCAAGAAUCCCUGUGGGAAAGAUAAAGAUUUGGGGCAACAGAUCUUUGUAAAGCAAACUACCCCCACCCUCAUCAGGACCUGACCUCCAAACCGAAGCUUAUACUGCCGGCUCACUUCUUGUUAAUUGCCGAUACGCAGCUGAAGUAGCUCCCUGACCUCUUUGGAGGACGGCGUCAUUUCAGUACCAAGUAUCACCAUUAUUGGGCUUAUUAACUUCAUUAAAACCGGUCUUGACUAGGAGUGGAGAUCGGAACUCUCUGGAUGUCUUUAAGCCAGUGUUCGCUCCCCGCCUCCUUCCCUCCCUCCGUUGCCUUCGGUCAGAGGAAUUCAUUUCUACUUCGCCUUUGAUUCAAAGGGAUUUAACUGCGUGGUCUUAGUUAAGAGAAGUUGUGCAGAGGUGAUGGAAAAAUUAGUUUCAGAGGGUGCUCAGUGCCUCUUCUUUCUGACCUUUUUUUUAAAGUUUCAGGAGAGAAACUGCCAACUGCGUUAUUUGCUGAGUAGCCCAAUGUUUAUCGUCAUUAUUGUUUUUAAAGAAGGGGUAAUCUUUCCCUGCCCCUUGCGGGACAUCCUGAAAACUGAAGGCAAUGGUAGAAAAUGGUUAUUUUGAUUCUGCAUUACUGUUGCAGAAGAAAAGCUGGGAGAUUAAGACACUGAAUCUGGGUAAACCUCAGGCCCCAAUUUAACUUCGUGUAAACUACAGUAUGUUGAAGGUUAUCAAUAGGUGCUGAAAACUCUUGCCAUCAAAUUUGGCCUCAAAUUUUGGUUGCAAACUAUUGCAUUUCCUUUACCAGCGAACCAAUUUACUUAUUAGGAAAAAUUACAGAGUUCAAGAGAGCAUGCGCAGCCAGGGACCGGAAAAAUGAAAUAGCCAGAAAACAAAAUGGUUGCAACUGCUAACCUUCAUUUAAAACGUUACAAUCAAGAGUCACUUAAUUUUGGUCAGCUGUAAGAGCUUAAGCAGCUUAAAAUGAAAUUAAAUAUUGCUUUUACCUGAGGAGCACCAUGAUCAUUGGCCCAUUUGUCUUUUCUGGUGACUGGUUUACAAAAUGCAGGUACAACUGAAAAGGGACCCAUUUUUUCCCCCUCGGCACUUUCUUAAACACAUACACACAAACUGACCAGGGUGCCUUAUGUUCAACUACUGAAAUUAUAGGUUUUAAAACUUUUCUGAAACUCUUUUGUUCAGGAAUCAUUUCUGCCUGAAUUACUUUCAGAUUCUGAUUACACUCCCUC
rnacentral:lncRNA from 1 species